GAAAAUAUUGGCAUAAUUACCUUUCAACAUCACAAUUUUGUAAAAGCUAAGAUACCGAGAAGAUCACGCCACCAUAAGUAUCAAUGUCGAGCAAGUUUUUUCCUUGGACAAGAAAGACUUCUAUUAGGGGAAGAAGACAAAUAGCAACUAGCUUGAAAAGUUAAGUGGCUGCGGUAUGGUGGUGGGUGGUGGCUAUAUUUUUGUAUGAGAGACAACGGAUAAGGUAAAUAAUGUACAGGCUCGUGAGUCGUGUCUGCUGGGCUAAACAAUCUCAUGAAGAAAUGCAUGCUUCCUUCAGAAUCCUCCAUCUUCAUUAUAUAUAUAUAUAGGGCCAUGCACUUGGCAUGCAAGACAUUUUCACUCCUUGACAUGGCUGUCUUAACCUAGUACUUUUAAGCGUAUGACGGCUGUGCAUGUGGCCGGUUCUAGUUUCUCAUGCUGUAAAUGUGAAGAAACUUAAGGUAAGUUGGCAUCCACAUUUACAGACAUUCCCUUUUGUCAAGCCAUGAUGUUUGCUAAAUUGUUGGGAAAAUGCCAAUUGCUUACAACUUUUAGGGUUGGGAAAUGAAGAAUUAUUUGUCGAGGGUGUUUUUAGUGCGGUAAUGGUUAUUUUUCAAAGUAUUUUUGCUUGAAAAUAUGUUAAAAUAAUGUUUUUUUUAUUUUUUUUAAAAUUAUUUUUGAUAUUAACACUUUAAAAUGAUAUCAGAAUACUAAAAAAAUUUAAAUUUUUUUAAAAUACAAAAAUAAACUGCUUAUGAGAAUCUUCUCCCUUUCCUUUCCAGGGCAAGGACACAAAUGGCCACCCUCGACUGGUUAAGCCCAACUAAAAAUGGAAUAGCUUUAGGGCUAGUUAUUCAAAUGAGGCCUAAAGGUUCUCUAGGAUUCGUUUCACAUUCGUCGGUUUUCUUUAGAUUUUAAUCAAAGCUUAAGGAGCAGCCCAGCUUCACUUUUGAUAUACUGGACUUUCGAGUGGGCCUACCAAGGUAGUCCAGUUUCACAUGAAUUAUCUCGAUCGUGGCCCUACAUUUGUUGAUUUUUAGGCCCAAAUAGACCUCUCAAUCCAAACAUCUAGGCCAUUGACAAGGGAGGAGGCCAACCUACGAAAAAUACUGGGCCGAGCUACCAUGGCAAAAUCCAUUUCUAGCAUACUGUGGUUUUCGCAUUCCACCGGCACGUUUUCAUUUCUUUUUUAUUGUUAUACUAUAUAGUAGCAGAAGAUAUGUGGCCGUGUUAUGUUGUGAGCACAUUUUUAUAGAAAUGAGAAACAUUUGAGAUCCGGGUCAUCUUCUGCUGAAAGAGCCCGCCCGAGUUGAAAUGCGAAAAGAAACCAAAUAAAAUAUUUUAAAAUAUCAUUUUAUUGUUAAAUUUAAUCAAUUAAUUUAAUUUAAUUCAGAGAUAAUUUUUUUUAAAAAAACUAAAUUUAACAAAGAACGGAAAAUAAAAAGACCUACUAUAAACCCGGGUCAUCUUUAAAAUUAGUGAAAAACCCUAUAGAAAAAAAUAUAAAAAAAUAAUGGAGCCCGAUCUCCAAUUAAAUAGAUUCUAAAGGAUAAAAUUGAAAGAAAACAUGAGCUUAAAAAAAAAACAAAAAAGAAGAAGUAAAUUCAGGCAAAUCUCUUAAACUUGAAUUAAUUUUCUAAACUCGUAACUUGCAUUCAGGUUCAAUCAAAAAGCUUAGUUCUCAACCAAUUUGAUGUUGAAGGAUAAAACCGGAAAAAAGAGUCAAUUUCAAAAAAAUAGUCAAAGUAAAGAAAAAUGAGAGGAUGAGGAUUAUAAAACAAAUUUAGUUUAAAAAAUUAUCUCAAUAAAAUAAAUAGCAAUAAAAAAAAUAAGAAUUAAAUCUGACGUAUAAAAAAAUUAAAGGUGGAUGAAAUUAAAAAAAAAAUCUAAUUUUAUAAAUUAUUUCAAAUAAAACAAGUCCAAAUCCAAAGGAAAACUAAAUUGAAAAGUUGCUUCGAAAAUUUAGAAAGACAUGUGUGGAAAUUGAGAAGAAGAGAGAAAAGAAAGAAAAAAGUCAGAAGUGCCAAAUAGAAUAUUCU
rnacentral:lncRNA from 1 species